rnacentral:lncRNA from 1 species
GUCCGCGAGCCUGAUCUUUCUCGGUUGUGUGACAAGAACCUGACUUUUCCUGCAGCACAAGGGUGCUCCAAGCCUGAACAUUGAGCACGACCCAGGUCAUAUGCACAACACGACAGGUUGAGCGUCCAUGUGUGGCUACUGGGUUUGCUGGGGACACCUCUUGCCUGCCAGGGUGAGCACACGCAGCAGUGAGCAGCCCCGUGUGACCCCACGGGAUGAGGAUGCCAUGAUGUCAGCAUCCCUUCUGACUUGGAGGUAUGUGACAUUCAUGGUGCCAAUGCCACUGUCACCUUGCAGAUCAGUCUGGGUUUGCUUCAGACAGAAGAUCCUGGAAUAUGUUCAAGCAUUACUCAUCUCCAGACUUUUUCAACCCAAUAAAUUUUCAUACUACUUGA